GCAGGUACAGUAGCUGCAGCAAGAGUAUAAAACAGGGCUGCAGAGGGCAGAGAGACACCACACUACUACUGAAGACCAGAAGACAUCUUCCAGAUAAACAGUCAUCAAUCAGACAGCAUCGUCCAACUGUAAGAGUAAAGGAUGAAGAUCCAGAGUAUGUUACUGCUGUUCGCUCUAGUGGGUGUCCUGUUAGCAAGCUCCCUCAAUGAAGAUAACUCUGAGGAAGCUCUCCUGCAGGAGGAUAAUCUAAAAGGUAGAAAGGCUGACUUUUUGGCAAAGUUGGCUGCUCUGAAGACCAUCGCCUCUGAAGAUGAAGCACCAUCUUUGAGCGAUCUUUGGAACAAAGUCAAGGAACUUGCGGGGUGAGAACCGACCAGAAUGGGGAUGCCGAGGAUCCAUCUCAGUCUCCAUAUCAAAUCAGCUAUCACCUCUGACAUCAUCACUAACAUUAACUCAAUGAAUCAUUCCAACAUCCAUCCAUCAAUCAUUGACUAACAUAAAAACAAAACAGUAAUACAGUUCUUGGGACUUUGGUACUGAGAAGAACUCAUCAGCAUUCUGAAGAAUAUAUGUUUUAUACAAAAACAUGAACUUUAAGUCCUGAUACAUGAUAGUGGAUAAAUAAUGAUGAUCAGAAUUUCUGGUGGCAAUGUUGUAUGGUUGAUGUGUCAUAUUGUGAUCCUCCAAUAAACUAUCAAGCAUUA